rnacentral:tRNA from 1 species
GUUACUGUAGCUUAAUUAACCCAAAGCGCGGCCCUGAAGUUGCCGUGAUGGACACCAAAAUUUCCCAGGGAACA